rnacentral:rRNA from 1 species
GUGCCAGCAGCCGCGGUAAUACGGAGGGGGCUAGCGUUGUUCGGAAUUACUGGGCGUAAAGCGCACGUAGGCGGACCAGCAAGUUAGGGGUGAAAUCCCGGGGCUCAACCCCGGAACUGCCCUUAAAACUGUUGAUCUUGAGUUCGAGAGAGGUGAGUGGAAUUCCGAGUGUAGAGGUGAAAUUCGUAGAUAUUCGGAGGAACACCAGUGGCGAAGGCGGCUCACUGGCUCGAUGCUGACGCUGAGGUGCGAAAGCGUGGGGAGCAAACAGGAUUAGAAACCCCCGUAGUCC